CGAGACUUGGAGGCGUCCGACCCCCGAGCGAGCGCCCUCUUCCACCCCUCUCCAAGGAGGGCCCGAGGGGUUCUGCAGGGGCGAGUUUCGGUUGUCUAAAGCCUUCCUUUUCCCAUGAUGUGCGCAUAGGAAACCUUCUGUGUAACCUUACCUCUGAGACCCAGUUAUCAGUUGCCCAAACCCAGCCAUAAGGAUGUCAUUCCAUGGACCAUAUCUUAGAGGUUUUCACUUACAAAGCAUCCCUUGGAGUACCCUGCUCAGAGACUGGCACCAAGGGAGUGGGUAUCGUCGUUGAACAGGAAAAAAUAAGAUCCUGUUGGAGCUUUGGCCCUGAUGACUUAUGCAUCUGGAAUGUUCCAUGGGAUGGAGCACGGCUGGGCAGGGUGGACCACUGAGGAUAGAGAGCUGACCCAACAGACACCUGAUCUGACAGGAGCAAGUCCUGCAGAACCUGCGCUGGAGAGAUUUUGGCGAUCACCCAGCCGCAGUUCACCACCCUGGCUGCACCUAGACGCACCUGGGAGCUUAAAAAAAUAUUUGUUUGUGGAUUCCAUCCCUGGAGGUUUAAUUCAAGUGGUCUGGGGUAGAACUCCUUCUGAAGUUCUAUGAGAAAGAAGAGCUAAAUGUCACCCAUGACUGCAGACCUCCCUGGGGCCUUGAAGUCAGUGCAAGAGAUGAAACAGCACCUGCAGGCUGAACAGGAAGACCCUUUGGAUUAAUCUGAAGUCAGAGUCAUGCAAUAUUCUGGAACACUGGGAAGAUUUUGUCUUGGUCACAUUACCAGAUUCUUUAUCUCCUUAUCUCAGCAUAUUCUUUGGUGUAAGUGCUUGGCUCCUUUGGCAGUGUCAUUCGGUGGCUUCUCCCAUCGAAAAGUGGAGGCUCUUGUUCCAUCCCUGAGUCUGGGCUGGCCUGCUGAUUGGAUUUGAUCAAUAGAAUAAGGAGACACUGGAUUAGGAACGAGACACCUCAACCAGACUCCUCCGGCUCUUUCCGAGUAUGGGCACAACCUCCUGACAAGCUGGCAACUUCAGAUGAAUGUCAAGUAUUUGAAAAGCAAAGUUGGUUGACUGCCACCUCCUCGCUGUUUUGUCACUUAAACCUUAAAAUUGAGAUGGCAAAUGCAAAACGUCAUCCAUAAGGUCUUCAGGAAAGGAACUCAUGGAUCUCCUUUUAAUUGUGAAGAGGUUCCCAGACAUUUCCUCAUGGCGCAUUUCCUCAUCCCACGUAGUCCGAGUCAUAGAUCAAGAAUCUAUAAGAUUUAAAUGGCAAAUAUCCGCACAUUUAUAAACGGCUUUGGUAGAAUCAUGCUUUCAAACAUGUUUUUGCUCAUAAUUCUCUGGCAAGUGACAAAACCAUUACCUUCCUGUGAAUUAAUUCUUCCAGAACAUCUCAGUUUACCCAAGUAACAACCACGGAGGGCUCGCGAAACAUCCUUGGCGAUUGACUUCUGAAGUACACGCAACAAACCAGGAACAGCAUCCGUGAUCCACGGAGCCCCGGUAACCAGGUAAAGCUGCAGAAGCUACUAAGCACUUGGGAGAAAUGUGGAAAACUCCACUGUUGGGAAAGACAGAAGAAGAAAACCCAGUUCCAGGACCCACUCGGUCAUCCUGCGACACACCUAGGUUUCACUGACACAAAUGGGUCCUUCAACAUUCUAGUGAGACUUGGCUUGGUGUUACUCUUCGACACCCCCAAUCUGCUACUCAUUUGUGGCCACUCCACCCCUGAGAAUAAGGCAUCCCCCAAAGGCCAACCUUAAGUGACAAAAGACCUCAUCUAGGGACAGUGUAUUUUACUCCCUGAGAUUUGCUGACACCUGCUGACAAGUGGAAGGAUAACAGUGGGUAAAGAAGUUUUGUAAAACAGGCUGUCGUACUGCCCUGCCAAGCGAGGAGGCCAAGGUAACCGUCGCCCAGGAGAAGACUACGAAGUUCUCUAUUCUGCUCCAGAGUGAUGGCUCAAAAACAAAUCUCACCACUAUUAUUCAACAUAGUUUUGGAAGUCCUAGCCAUGGCAAUCAGAGAAGAAAAAGAAAUAAAAGGAAUACAAAUUGGAAAAGAAGUAAAACUGUCACUGUUUGCAGAUGACAUGAUACUAUACAUAGAGAAUCCUAAAGGUGCCACCAGAAAACUACUAAAGCUAAUCAAUGAAUUUGGUAAAGUUGCAGGAUACAAAAAUAAUGCACAGAAAUCUCUUGCAUUCCUAUACACUAAUGAUGAAAAAUCUGAAAGAGAAAUUAAGGAAACACUCCCAUUUACCAUUGCAACAAAAAGAAUAAAAUACCUAGGAAUAAACCUACCUAGGGAGACAAAAGACCUGUAUGCAGAAAACUAUAAGACACUGAUGAAAGAAAUUACAGAUGAUACCAACAGAUGGAGAGAUAUACCAUGUUCUUGGAUUGGAAGAAUCAAUACUGUGAAAAUGACUAUACUAUCCAAAGCAAUCUACAGAUUCAGUGCAAUCCCUAUCAAACUACCAAUGGCAUUUUUCUACAGAACUAGAACAAAAAAUCUUAAAAUUUGUAUGGAGACACAAAAGGCCCCAAAUAGCCAAAGCAGUCUUGGGGGAAAAAAGUGGAGCUGGAGGAAUGAGACUCCCUGACUUCACACUAUACUACAAAGCUACAGUAAUCAAGACAAUAUGGUACUGGCACAAAAACAGAAAUAUGGAUCAAUGGAACAAGAUAAAAAGCCCAGAGAUAAACCCACGCACCUAUGGUCAACUAAUCUAUGACAAAGGAGGCAAGGAUAUACAAUGGAGAAAAGACAGUCUCUUCAAUAAGUGGUGCUGGGAAAACUGGACAGCUACAUGUAAGAGAAUGAAAUUAGAACACUCCCUAACACCGUACACAAAAAUAAACUCAAAAUGGAUUAGAGACCUAAACGUGAGAUCGGACACUAUAAAACUCUUAGAGGAAAACAUAGGAAGAACAUCUUUGACAUAAAUCACAGCAAGGUCUUUUUUGAUCCACCUCCUCGAGUAAUGGAAAUAAAAACAAGAAUAAACAAAUGGGACCUAAUGAAACUUAAAAGCUUUUGCACAGCAAAGGAAACCAUAAACAAGAUGAAAAGACAACCCUCAGAAUGGGAGAAAAUAUUUGCAAACGAAUCAAUGGACAAAGGAUUAAUCUCCAAAAUAUAUAAACAGCUCAUGCAGCUCAAUAUUAAAGAAACAAACAACCCAAGCCAAAAAUGGACAGAAGACCUAAAUAGACAUUUCUCCAAAGAAGACAUACAGAUGGCCAAGAAGCACAUGAAAAGCUGCUCAACAUCACUAACUAUUAGAGAAAUGCAAAUCAAAACUACAAUGAGGUAUCACCUCACACCAGUUAGAAUGGGCAUCAUCAGAAAAUCUACAAACAACAAAUGCUGGAGAGGAUGCGGAGAAAAGGGAACCCUCUUGCACUGUUGGUGGGAAUGUAAAUUGAUACAGCCACUAUGGAGAACAGUAUGGAGGUUCCUUAAAAAACUAAAAAUAGAAUUACCAUAUGACCCAGCAAUCCCACUACUGGGCAUAUACCCAGAGAAAACCAUAAUUCAAAAAGACACAUGCACCCCAAUGUUCAUCGCAGCACUAUUUACAAUAGACAGGUCAUGGAAGCAACCUAAAUGCCCAUCAACAGACGAAUGGAUAAAGAAGAUGUGGUACAUAUAUACAAUGGAAUAUUACUCAGCCAUAAAAAUGAACGAAAUUGAGUCAUUUGUUGAGACGUGGAUGGAUCUAGAGACUGUCAUACAGAGUGAAGUAAGUCAGAAAAAUAAAAACAAAUAUCGUAUAUUAAUGCAUGUUAUGUGGAACCUAGAAAAAUGGUACAGAUGAACCGGUUUUCAGGGCAGAAUUUGAGACACAGAUGUAGAGAACAAACAUAUGGACACCA